GGAGUUGAUGUCACGUCCGGCGGCGGCGGCAGCGGCGCUGAGUUUUGUCUCCCGGGCUGUCGGGGCACGCGCAGGUGUCCCAGGUGUCCCAGGUGUCCCGCCGCCUCCUUGGUUCCCGCAGGACUCGCCCCUCCUGGCCCUGGGCCCCAACGGUGCCCGCCUGCCCGGCGGUCGGCCAGCGCACAGGGCACGGCUUCCUCUGCUUCUCCCGGACCACUUAGUCUCAACCCGGACUCACUUUUCCCCUUCGUCUCUCUCUCUCUUUCUGUGUUUCCUCCAAGAAUGAAAUAUGACUGAGGACUCUCAGAGAAACUUUCGUUCAGUAUAUUAUGAGAAAGUGGGGUUUCGUGGAGUUGAAGAAAAGAAAUCAUUAGAAAUUCUCCUAAAAGAUGACCGUCUGGAUACUGAGAAACUUUGUACUUUUAGUCAGAGGUUCCCUCUCCCGUCCAUGUACCGUGCAUUGGUAUGGAAGGUGCUUCUAGGAAUCCUGCCUCCACACCAUGAGUCCCAUGCCAAGGUGAUGAUGUAUCGUAAGGAGCAGUACUUGGAUGUCCUUCAUGCCCUGAAAGUUGUUCGCUUUGUUAGUGAUGCCACACCUCAGGCUGAAGUCUAUCUCCGCAUGUAUCAGCUGGAGUCUGGGAAGUUACCUCGAAGUCCCUCUUUUCCACUGGAGCCAGAAGAUGAAGUAUUUCUUGCCAUAGCUAAAGCCAUGGAGGAAAUGGUGGAAGAUAGUGUCGACUGUUACUGGAUCACCCGACGCUUCGUGAACCAAUUAAAUACCAAGUACCGGGAUUCUUUGCCCCAGUUGCCAAAAGUGUUUGAACAAUACUUGAAUCUGGAAGAUGGCAGACUGCUGACUCAUCUGAAGAUGUGUUCCGCAGCGCCCAAACUUCCUUAUGAUCUCUGGUUCAAGAGGUGCUUUGCGGGAUGUUUGCCGGAAUCCAGUUUACAGAGGGUUUGGGAUAAAGUUGUGAGUGGAUCCUGUAAGAUCCUAGUUUUUGUAGCUGUCGAAAUUUUAUUAACCUUUAAAAUAAAAGUUAUGGCACUGAACAGUGCAGAGAAGAUAACAAAGUUUCUGGAAAAUAUUCCCCAGGACAGCUCAGAUGCGAUCGUGAGCAAGGCCAUUGACUUGUGGCACAAACACUGUGGGACCCCGGUCCAUUCAAGCUGAACGCACCCGCUGGUUGUGGACCGUCUGCCAGGCCUACCAGCUGUGGCACUGAGGCAUCAAUGGUGGUGUACACCUACCCCACACUCCUGGGGGCCCAAGAACACAUUCAAUGUCAACCUCUCAUCUUCCGUAAAUAAACGAAGCUCAGCACAGGCACAGCGAUGCCUCGAGGUGGAGACUUCCAGAAGGCGUGGAUCAAAUUCUCCAACCAAAUUAGGGGGACAGACGGAGUCUCACUCUGUUGCCCAGGCUGGAGUUCAGUGGUGCAAUGAUCUCGGCUCACUGCAACCUCCGCCUCUUGGGUUCAAGUAAUUCUCCUGCCUCAGCCUCCCAAGUAGCUGGGAUUACAGGUAAGCGCCACCUUGUCCGGCUAAUUUUUGUAUUUUUAAUAGAGAUAGGGUUUCGCCAUAUUGCCCAGACUGGUCUCAAACUCCUGAUCUCAAAUGAUCCGCCGUUCUCAGCCUCCCAAAGUGCUGGGAUUACAGGUAUGAGCCACCGAGCCCGGCCCAAAGUGUUAUUUUCUAAGUGCACCCAUGAUGUGAGAAAAGUUGUUAAGCCCUGGCUUUCAAAUUUAUCUUCCUGGAAACUGACCUGGAUUUUACUAAUAUCCUAUCUAUGGCAGAGUCUGGGGUGAACCAAAGACUAAGCAUAAACGCUGCAGGUCAGGGGCUGUUUCUUAUGCCUGAACAUCGUGGAGCCUUGGACACCGUCUUUCCAAAUCAAGACGGCACAGAGCACAAGUGCUCAGAGGGAAUGAGCGAGGAUGCAGCUGGCUGCUGCCUCUGAGAGUCACAGUUGCUGCACGGACCCCAGCACUAACAAACGGCCACCAGGAUGCUCCUCCGUGUGCAUGGGCUCACGCCCCUGACCACGAAAGGCUCAGAAGAUGCACCUUUGGCCUGGUGCUGCCUGUAGCCCUCAGGGCAUCUGGAACCUGAAGUCCUUCCUUGAAUGCUGCAAAAAUAAUCUUUGCAGCCAAAGUCAGGCCCGCCUCGGCCUCCCAAAGUGCUGGGAUUACAGGCAUGAGCCACUGCGCCUGGCCGCAGGCAUGUUUUUUUUUAAAAGACAAAGCAUGUAAUUUUUAUAUUAGUCUCAGUUUGGUCAAAGAAAAUGACUGGUCUGUUGCUAUCAGCCUCAGUUACUACGUUUUAUUUUUUAUUUUUCUUACUAGUACAUUACAAUUAAAUAGAACUUUAUUGAAGAAGUUACUGGGCUGAAGGCAAGUCACUGUAAAGCAGCCACCAUCACUGGCAUCUGGUCUCGGUGUGAUAAAUGCUCAAGAGGAGAAGGAUCUACACAGGGCCAGGAAGUGAUGAUGUAGGUUUCCCACCUGCCGGAAGGCACCACAUCUCUGCCCGCAAAAGCAGAUGUGGAAGUUGCCCCUCUGUUCUUCCAGUCUCUCUCUCUUAGAAGCAGUUAUCCCCUCUCAAGCUCCUUAUUUCUAAUCCCCCCAGCCAGUCCCAGGGGAGGGCAAAUGCUAAAAUUCCAAGGCCAUUUCCCUGGGAGAAGAAAGGAGAGGUGAGCAGGAACAAAGAGGCAAUUAUUUGAUUGUGGAGACCUGGAAAAACUAUGAACUAUUUGGGGUCCCCAUCCCUAGUGUUACGAGCCCUAGGGAGAUGGGUGUGGAAAGGAAGACUCUUUACUCGCUCAUUACCAAAUCAUGCAAUUAAUCAAGUUCUCCACAAAAUCAUAUCAACUUUGUUAAGAGAGAGGAAUUAAAUAAAUGUCUAAGUAUUUCUCUAUGACCGUCUUUUAGCAAGCAACCUUAAAACUGGGGGAAUUUUGGGGAUCCAGCAACCAAUUCCGAAAAAUUUGAUGAAAAUCUGAUUUAAACAACUUUUUUUUCUAAGUGUCUAGACCUUUCUGUAUCAGAAAUGAAGGUUUAUCACAGUGUCUUUUUCAAGCCCCUGUCAUUUCAAGGACAUGAUGAGAAAAAGCUAAUGCAUCUCUCCUGCUCUUCUCACUACUCAAUCUCAGGAAAAACUGCGCCCUGCAUCCAAAGAGUGAGUGGGCUUAAGGAUGUAAAGGGUCCAACCUUGACGGGUGGGACAGCGACUGGCUGGUGAAGUCACUUAGCUCUUGCGCUAGUCUCCACCAGGGUGACGCCAGCCAGUUGUCUGGCCAUUCAGGCACUUGUUUAUCCUGCUCUUGCUAAUUGGGUUGGCAUUUGGCUUGUCACCAGGCAUUUGGGAUGCUCGCAGGGAAAGUGUUGAGAAAUACAAACCAUCACCUUAAUAAUUGGUAUGAUAUUUCAGGAUCUCUGAAUUUCUUCCUUUGUGUGAUAUUUCGGGAGAGAAAAAUCCACUAAUAAACCUUUUUAAAAUUAAUAUUAAUGGGCCUCUUAACUGUCGCUAAGAUAUGAGUAUCUUUCUCUCAAGAUGGUCACUGUAGGAGGCUGAUUAAAAACGCUUUGACUUCGUCAGACAGAAGGGAGUAUUAUAUCUUGCACGUCAUCAAUUAAUUAAACUUUUCAGCAUUAUCCAAGAAUAGCCUUAACAAUGCGUUUAUUAUUAAAGAGGACACUCGUGUGGAAUGAGAUGCAUGCGAGGCUACAGUGCAUUGCCAAAUCAUCUAUUUUUGGGGUUAAGACUAUAUUAAAAUUCCAGUUUUAUGACUUUUAUCUAUGUGCUUCUCAAACAUCUGCUUUAAAUUUGUCAGUACUUUCGUAAUUUAGCCUAAUAAAGUUGCAUAGUUCUUAAUUCCUAGGGAAAGAAUAGUGUCGGGGAAGCAAAAAAAAAAAAAAAAAAAAAGUCUAUACUUUCCCAGGGUCAUAGCAAAUAAUUGUGUAAUAUUCAAACUAGUAAUUUUUUUUUUUUUUUUUUUUGAGACAGAGUCUUGCUCUGUUGCCCAGGCUGGAGUGCAGUGGUGCGAUCUCGGCUCACUGCAACCUCUGCCUCCUGGGCUCAAGCAAUUCUCCAACCUCAGACUCCCAUGUAUCUGGGACUACAGGUGCACAUCACCAUGCCCAGCUAGUUUUUGUAUAUUUCCUUUGACAAAGACAGCAUUUUACCAUGUUGCCCAGGCUGGUCUCGAACUCCUGGCUUCAAGCUAUCCACUCACCUUGGCCUCCCAAAGUGCUGGGUUUAUAGGCAUGAACC